AUGUGGUUAUCUUCAUAUGUAAACAAUAGCAUAUAUUUGAUGUUGAAAUAAUCUUUUUAUUUGUCCGUCCUCUAAGCUCCCAAGGAAAUUGAAAAUACCCGAAUACUGGGUUAAUCCAAGUUUUUACUAUUCAUGUAAUUUUUAAAAAUAGGUAAAAGCUAGUUUUAUACCAGCCCUCGAAAGUUGUAGAGCAGCUGUAUCUGGUAGGAAGAAUCCGUACUCAAUGAAAAUGUCGGUGCAGACAGAACAGGCUUCAGUAGAUGUUUAUAGAUGUUUUCACAUGUUACAAAUUAAAGUAUAUUCAUCUCCAGUGCACAAAGACUAAUUCUGUAUUGAAGAGUCCCUCAGCUGCUAGGGUGACCAGCAGCCCAGGCCUGAGGGCUUUCCUGGAACCUGAAACUUUCAAUGCUAAAACUAGGACAGUCCCAGGCCAACCAGGAUGGUUGGUCAUUCUUCUAGUUGCUGAGAUUUUGAAAUCAAUAUUUAGUGUUCAUUCUACUGUUAUUGGAAUUGCCUUGAGCCCUGGCUCGGGACGUUGAGGGAGGGACUGGGCAGUGUCUUUAUUUUAUAUAUCUACAGAAGCCAGAACAAAGGCAAGCUUACCUAUGAAGCCCAGUAAGAUCCUGCGGUAGGUUUUCUCAACAGCAGUGUUAUGGACAUUUGGGGCUAGAUAAUUCUCUUUUGUGGGGCUCUGUCCUGUGCGUUGAAAGAUGUUUAGCAGCAUUACUGCCCUCUAUGCAUUAGAUGCCAGUAGCAUGUUCCCCACCCAGGUGUGACAAUCAAAACACGUCUUUAGGAAUUGCAAAUAUUCACUGGGAUGGGGGUAAGGGUGGCAAACUCACCCCUAGUUGGGAAGUACUGCCCAAGAGAGACGUCUCUUACUGCCUCAUUAAGCAUUUGGAGCUGUUAAACACAAAUCAAGGCAACCAGAAAGGGCAUCUUGGCUUCAGGCUGGGCAUAACCAUCCCAUUUGCCACAUAAAAGUCUAGUGGCUACUCUGCACCCUUUCUGGGUAGAAGCAGAGUUAGUUUGGUCAUGGGGGCCCCUGUGGGACAGUGUUGCCCAGACAGGUACCCCUUUAAACCAGCUCUUCCCACAGAGUGUCACAAAGAAUGCUUCUUGUCCUAUGGGAUGCCCCCUGGGGAAAUAAAAGAGAGUUUGAAGAAUACUAUCUGGAUAUUCACAAAGUACCUUAUACAAUGAGUGCUCUGAGAAGUGCUGAAAUAAAGAAACCUGUUUAAAAUUUCCACCCAAGUUUUAUGCUGAGGUCAACCUAUCCAUUAAGAUUUAUAUACAAUUGGCUCAAUCCCUUGAACUGUAGCAUCUUUAGAUACUCUGGGGCCCAUCCUGAGAUUCUGAGAAUUUCCAGAGGGUUUAUCUUCUCAAGGUCACUUCGACUCUGAGUUCAGCCUCCCUUUAAAUUCUCCAGCUCAUUCAUAGUGCACCUCUUACCACUUCCCCCUUAUUUCUGCUCUAUGCUGAUUGAGUUGUGGAUUUCAGUCCCCUCUUCAUGAAUUUUCCUUCCCAAAAAUACCCUAUAAGGCAUGUCUGUGUUCAGUGGCUUUACUGAGGUUUGUGGUAGUGAAAGCCUUUUACAUCUCCAUAAUUUUAGCCCCUUUUCCCCCUCAAAACUUUCCUCUUAUCUCCCUUGCCCCCUCCACCCUACCCCAACUCAACUCUCCUCACUUUAUUGUACAAAACAACUUUGCUUUCCUCUCCUUAUUUGGUCUUGAACCUACUUUUACAUUUUCAAAGCCUCAUUAACAGGUAACCACAUAAUACGUCGUCCAAACUAUGACACUUUUAAGAUUGAAAGUGGGCCUAGUAAUAACUUUGCUGGCCAACAGGUGUACAGCAGGAAAAUCUUAGGCAAUCAGGUCACAUGGGCUGUCUGCCCUGCACUUGCAGGUCAUCAACAUAGAAAAGACGCAGAAGCACAGAAAUGUUAGUUUCCUUUCUACUUUCUCCUCCCCACUCCAGUCCCCGUAAGUGGAAUGGAGCCAUGGAGUACGUAUUUUCUUAUCGAUGUGAACCAUUCCACCCUCCUUAGAAGACAGAAGUAGCUGUCAUCUGUUGCAGGUGCAACUGGCUGGGGCUGGCGUCACAGAUGGUAAAAGAAUUUACCAAGACAGUAGUGAGUUAAAGAAAGCAAGCUCAUUACAGGGAGAAUAUGUUGCAAGGAGGCAAUGGGCAGCACGGCAGAGAAGGGGCUGUCUGCAAAGAGGCAGGGACUGGAGGGAAGUUUUCUAGGGUUGUACUGGAGGGGGUAUGUGCAGAAUGAGGUUGUGCUGUUGGGGCUAUGUGUGGAGUGAGGUAUUUGGGAACAGGAUGUCCUGCCAGUGGGUUGUCAGUGAUGAGCUGUCUGGCAGAAAAAUUGCUCUCCCCACCUGGGGCCCCCUCCAAGUUGUUGCUCACUUAUCUUAUUAGGAAUCCACAUCAUCAGCUUUGGUUUUAAAUGAAAAUUUCUUCUUCUACAUUACCCUUUGCUUAUUCAUCAUUUUCCAAACUUAUGUGAUCAUAGGUCUCAUUUAAUCUCUCUAUCCCUACACCCAUUAAUGUCUCUCAUAACUAGAAAAAUACCCUUUGGGAAACUUUGAGCUCAGAGCUAGGAAGAACUAUCUACAUUGCCACUAAAAUCUCCUAGGAUGAUGACAGGAUUAAGGUGGAGAGACCGGGAAUCACGUUCUGGAGUCCCCUGUGGAACCAGAAUGAAAUCUGAUGCCUCUGACAGACUGAAUGGACCCCUCUUGGCCCAGAUCACCCAGAAAAACUUUAAGUUUCCCUGGCUUUGAUGAGAUAGGAGGUUAGAUAUGCCUCAGUACCCCCUCUUUGUGUUAUUACCAGACUUUCUAAGAGAUAAACAGAAACCAAUAUCUGAAAAACAAAGACUGGAAGAUCCUUCCAUGGACUUCAGCAGAUCACCUGACACCGUGGCCAGACUCCACUCCCUUAUCACAGGUUCACCAUGAAAACUGAGCGGCCUGACAAAGAAUUCCGUCCUGUCCUGAUAACUGACCACCAACCACUGACUGGCUCUGGCUGGUUUACUGAGAUUAAGCACAAAGUGGCUUUGUGCCUUAUGUUUCACCUUUUGACAUACAGAGCCUAAAUUUACUGCAUUUUAAUACUGUUUCUACAAAUAUGGGUCAUAUGUAACAUAUAUGUUUAUGCACUACACAUGCAUUAGGACCCUUCAUAAAUAUUUAUAAGAUUGUCCUAUAACCUACUGAAUAUGUAUGUACAGCCAGUCUCACUAAGCAUAAAUCUCAGCCUCUCCCUUCUGUCUCUGAAGUGUCUGCUUUCAGUUUCAGCCAGAGGCUCCACUUCCCUGCCUGUAGGUUGUAACUCUUUUUUUUUGAGACAGAGUCUCUCUCUUGUUGCCCAGGCUGGAGUGCAGUGGUGCAAUCUCAGCUCACUGCAAACUUGACGUCCCAGGUUCAAGCGAUUCUUCUGCCUCAGCCUCCGGAGUAGCUGGGAUUACAGGCAUGUGCCACCACACCCAGCUUAUUUCUGUAUUUUUAGUAGAGACAGGGUUUCACCAUGUUGGUCAGGCUGGUCUCAAACUCCUGGCCUCAAGUGAUCCGUCCGCCUCGGCCUUCCAAAAUGCUGGGAUUACAGGCGUGAGCCACUGUGCCUGGCCCAGGUUGUAACCCUUUAUAAGAAAGAGAGUUCUCCUUUUUUAAAAUUUAAAGAUAUCAAUAAUUUUAAGUAGACACCCCUAUAAAUUAGGGGAAUGUCUAGUUAAUAGAUAAGAGAUUCGCAGAUAAGAGCAACGAGACUGCAGAGAGUGGUAGAACCAGAGGCAUACGCCUCUAAAGACCAGGGCUCUGGAGGGAUUCUCCAUGGAAUAUGCUGGGAAACACUGCCUGCAGUCACUGAUUCCCAAACUCAGGUACUGAUUUGAAUGAGAAUCUUCAGAAAUCCCUGGAGGGACCAAAGGUGCUGAACACAUCCAGCCAGCGAUCUUCCCGGGCCCUGUGUGUCAUGGCAGUCUAAACAGUGGUUCCUCUUUUUGGUCCCUUUAGUCCUGGGGCCAAGCCCAGUCCUGGCUAAAGCAGAUACAGGCCACUGAAAAACUGAAAAACCGAUGAUUGGGUUCCCACUGCCUUCUGCGCCCCUUCUGUGCAAUGUCCCACUCUCCCCACCCUAUCACCAAGACCAGACCAAGAUGAGGGUGCAGGGGAAGCAGCUGCCCAUUCUGAGACUGAAUAUGGAUGGAGAGGCAGCUUCCCAACAUGCUGGUCCUGGUGAGAGGCCUAAGACUUGUUGAGUCCCUGAUCCCUGUUGUCCCACAGGCAGGACUUUCCUGUCCCUAUCCUCUCACCACCUCUAACUAUCAUGCCCAUUAGACAUCUCCCUAGAUGGGAGAAGAUGAAAGAAGAGGUGGGGUUGCCAGAGCAAGACUGAAGGUAGAAGGCUUCUGGCCUUGUUAGUACUUGACCAACCUCCCCAGGAACCUUUCCCACUGCCACCAUUGGUCCAGUCUGUGGGGUCCCUGCCAUCCACAGACUGACCUCAACAUGGGUUUCUCUCUUCUGCCUGGAGUCCUGCCUUCUAGCUGCCUCCAGAGAAGCAUGCAAGUCCUUUUGUUAUGAGGGUUUAACCACUGGGCAUUCCUGCAUUACCACCUUCUCUACUUCCACUCUUGCCCCUACAGUCUGGCUCAAUACAGUAGCCAGAAAAAUCUUUUUUUUUUUUUUAAUUGAUCAUUCUUGGGUGUUUCUCACAGAGGGGGAUUUGGCAGUGUCAUAGGACAAUAGUGGAGGGAAGGUCAGCAGAUAAACAAGUGAACAAAGGUCUCUGGUUUUCCUAGGCAGAAGACCCUGCGGCCUUCCGCAGCAUUUGUGUCCCUGGGUACUUGAGACUGGGGAGUGGUGAUGACUCUUAAUGAGCAUGCUGCCUUCAAGCAUCUGUUUAACAAAGCACAUCUUGCACUGCCCUUAAUCCAUUUAACUCUGAGUGGACACAGCACAUGUUUCAGAGAGCACAGGGUUGGGGGUAAGGUCACAGAUCAACAGGAUCCCAAGGCAGAAGAACUUCUCUUAGUACAGAACAAAAUGAAAAGUCUCCCAUGUCUACCUCCUUCUACACAGACACGGCAACCAUCCGAUUUCUCAAUCUUUUCCCCACCUUUCCCCACUCUCUAUUCCACAAAGCCGCCAUUGUCAUCCUGGCCCGUUCUCAAUGAGCUGCUGGGCACACCUCCCAGACGGGGCGGUGGCCGGGCAGAGGGGCUCCUCACUUCCCA
rnacentral:lncRNA from 10 species